GGACGUUGUCCCGUCCCUAGGAGGAGGACGUUGUCCCGUCCCUAGGAGGAGGACGUUGUCCCGUCCCUAGAAGAAGGACGUUGUCCCCAGGAGGAGGACGUUGUCCCGUCCCUAGGAGGAGGACGUUGUCCCGUCCCUAGAAGAAGGACGUUGUCCCUAGGAGAAGGACGUUGUCCCUAGGAGGAGGACGUUGUCCCGUCCCUAGGAGGAGGACGUUGUCCCGUCCCUAGAAGAAGGACGUUGUCCCUAGAAGAAGGACGUUGUCCCUAGGAGAAGGACGUUGUCCCCAGGAGGAGGACGUUGUCCCUAGGAGAAGGACGUCUCUUCUACUUGGUCAUGGUGGCACAAUGCACCAGGUGACGUUACUCCAUAACAGUCUGUUCUCCAUGGAAACAGCAGGUGUCUUGUCCUCAACAGCCUCAUCAACUCCAUGCGAAGGAGAUGUGUCGCGCAGCAUGAGGCAAAAGGUGGUCACUCUAGAUAUGACUGGUUUUCUGAUCCGCGCCCCUACCUUGUUUUCUUAAGGUGUCUGUGACCAACAGAUGCAUAUCUUUAUUCCCAGUCAUGUGAAAAUCCAUAGAUUAGGGACUCAUUUAUUUAAAUUGACUGAGUUCCUUAUAUGAACUGUAACUCAGUAAAUUGUUGCAUUUUUAUAUUUUUGUUCACUGUAAAUUUCAGGAUAAUUGUGUAUCUCUGUAAAUAAUCAGAAUUCAUGUCAAAUCAAGGAAAGUUUUUUAAAAACAGUGCUUGUCCAAAAAAAUGUUGUUCUCUUAUCACAGUUUAGUCCAGGUGUGGGGUAAAUUGAGCCGCUGGACAGAGUGAAUUAAUCCACCUACAUAAUUCUGUACUGAAUUAAAUAUUACCACAACCCUUUUAAAACCAUGUCUAUGUUUAUUUCCCAAACACAAUUCAACAUUUUCACAAUCGCUUUUUUUUUUGGUCAUUGUCUUUGUCAUAAUUUGAAGCAUAUUUUAACACAGGGCUUAACACCUAACAAACACUAUGUACUUUUACCAUAGG
rnacentral:lncRNA from 1 species